CAUAGACUCUAUAAGAUUUUAUAAAUCAUUUGUAACAAGGUGGAAAACCUAAAAUAUUGAAAUUUGAAGUGACUCGUGCCAAAAGAGGUUCUCCUUCUCCAACGGCUGUCAAUGAAGAAAAUAAGCAAGUUCUAAUGUUUUAGGGUCACCAGGUAGAGAUCGUUGGCAGUUUGUCAUUGCAGAGUUUGCUGACCGGGAGUUAAAAGGGUACGAGGCCCAGAGGCCUACACCACUCAGUAUCUUGGCUCGUAACAACCACCGUUGACAAACGUGUUUGGAUUUAGCUACUACUACUACCACCACACUACUACUACCAACUACAACUACAACUUUACUGCUGAUAGCCAAAUUCUUAAGGGCCAAGAGCAUAUAAGCCUACUCCGAACAGUUGUGAUUUUGGAGGAAGCUUUCAAAGUCGGCAAGGAAUAAUAUGAAGAGUAGUGGACUUACUCUCACCGUGGAGUACUGCCUCAGUGACUCUGAAUUUGUUUGAGGACUGAUUUCCUACUUUAACUUGUAAUGAGGAUAUUGAUAAGCUUCGUACUCACACCAAGGCGAUACAGUUUUUGCUAGAGCUUUAGGUGAGGAACUGAGUUGAGGGCUCUAUUGUAGUCCACAAGGAAUUCGUAGGCUUUGAUCGCUAUACACAGAUGAAAAUGCAAAGUAGACUAAAUGUUUUCAGCCUAAGAUUCCAGCCUUUCCUUAGAAGAUCGGAGAAGACUUUCGUCGAGCAAUUUACCAGGGCGAUUCCACGAUAGGUAGCUGGGUCUGCAUGAUCACCAGCCUUAUGAAACAUACAGAGAUGAGCCGUGGACCACUCUGAUGGAGUUUCUUUUUUGGCCAAAAUACAGUUGAAUAACGACAGCAAGUUGUACCUCCAGCUAGAUGGAAGAUUGAAUGAAAACUUGCUUGGGAUUUGUUCUGGGUCUGGUAACUUGUUGUUUUUCAGAUGUUUCAGGCAUAUGUCUAAUUCAAUUGUAAUAAAUUCCCAAUCUAGUUCUUCCAUAUGCUGAUAGUUUAGUGUGAUUUGAUAGGGUUGUAUUUUAGGAUAUACAGACUCAUGGGAAAAGUUCCAAAUCUAAAUUUCGGACCCUAGCUAAGACAUACUUGGGACUUACACCGUCUGACAGCUUGCCAGAAUUCACUCGGAUUUUUCGUAUUGAUGAAAGUUUUGAAUGUUCUUGGUAUAUAGGUCUUUCUUGCUUUUAAUCAGCAUUUCUUAAUAUCCUUU